CCUACGGGAGGCAGCAGUGAGGGAUAUUGCGCAAUGGGCGAAAGCCUGACGCAGCGACGCCGCGUGGGCGAGGAAGGCCUUCGGGUUGUAAAGCCCUUUUGGCAGGGAAGAAUCAUGACGGUACCUGGUGAAUAAGCCUCGGCCAACUACGUGCCAGCAGCCGCGGUAAUACGUAGGAGGCGAGCGUUAUCCGGAUUUACUGGGCGUAAAGAGGGCGCGGGUGGCCUUCUAAGUCCGGGGUGAAAUCUCCCGGCCUAACCGGGAGGGGCCCCCGGAUACUGGAGGGCUUGAGGGCAGCAGAGGGAGGUGGAAUUCCCGGUGUAGGGGUGAAAUGCGUAGAUAUCGGGAGGAACACCAGUGGCGAGGGCGGCCUCCGGGGCUGUCCCUGACACUGAGGCCCGAAGGCGUGGGGAGCAAACCGGAUUAGAUCCCCCUGUAGU
rnacentral:rRNA from 1 species